rnacentral:rRNA from 1 species
UACAGAGGGGGCAAGCGUUGUUCGGAAUUACUGGGCGUAAAGGGCGCGUAGGCGGCCUUCUAAGUCGAACGUGAAAUCCCUGGGCUCAACCCAGGAACUGCGUCCGAUACUGGAAGGCUUGAAUCCGGGAGAGGGAUGCGGAAUUCCAGGUGUAGCGGUGAAAUGCGUAGAUAUCAGGAGGAACACCGGUGGCGAAGGCGGCGUUCUGGACUGUUACUGACACUGAGGAACGAAAGCCAGGGGAGCAAACGGG